UGCGAAUUAAUGUAAAGGUUAGCAGAUAAGGUUCAUAACCUUGUAGUGAUUGUUCGAAUCGAUCAUUCGCAA
rfam:Smittium culicis strain GSMNP scaffold-9575, whole genome shotgun sequence.